rnacentral:rRNA from 1 species
AGGACGAACGCUGGCGGCGUGCUUAACACAUGCAAGUCGAGCGGAAAGGCCCUUCGGGGUACUCGAGCGGCGAACGGGUGAGUAACACGUGGGCAACCUGCCCCUAGCUCUGGGAUAACUCCGGGAAACCGGUGCUAAUACCGGAUACGACCUCAUUGGGCAUUCUUUGAGGUGGAAAGAUUUAUUGGCUAGGGAUGGGCCCGCGGCCUAUCAGCUUGUUGGUGGGGUAACGGCCUACCAAGGCGACGACGGGUAG